UGUCCACUGAACCUUAUCAUUUAGAGGAAGGAGAAGUCGUAACAAGGUUUCCGUAGGUGAACCUGCGGAAGGAUCAUUGUCGAUGCCUUACAUGCAGACCAACUAGUGAAUCUGUUUGAAUACUUAGGGAUGGCUGGGGUGUUUUGCACCACGACCUCCCUUUGGGUGGGGGGUGGUGCGCAAUGCGUUCCCCCUCCUGCCCGAACACAAACCCCGGCGCUCAAUGCGCCAAGGAACUAAAAUUCGAUCAAUGUGCCCCGUCGGCCCGGAGACGGUGCUUCGGCGGUGGUGCCUUGUCACAUGAUACAGAAUGACUCUCGGCAACGGAUAUCUAGGCUCUUGCAUCGAUGAAGAACGUAGCGAAAUGCGAUACUUGGUGUGAAUUGCAGAAUCCCGUGAACCAUCGAGUCUUUGAACGCAAGUUGCGCCCGAAGCCAUUAGGUUGAGGGCACGUCUGCCUGGGCGUCACAUAUCGUUGCCCGAUGCCUAUUGCAGUGUGAUAGGAAUUUUUAGGGCGAAUGAUGGCUUCCCGUGAGCGUUGUUGCCUCGCGGUUGGUUGAAAAUUGAGUCCUUGGUGGGGUGUGCCAUGAUAGAUGGUGGUCGAGUUAGCACGAGACCCAUCAUGUGUACGCUCCCCAUAAUAUGGCUUCGAUGACCCACAUGCGUCUUUUGACUCUCAUGACGAGACCUCAGGUCAGGCGGGGCUACCCGCUGAAUUUAAGCAUAUCAAUAAGCGGAGGA
rnacentral:rRNA from 1 species